GCCGGCGUAGCUCAGUUGGUAGAGCAACUGAUUUGUAAUCAGUAGGUCGCGGGUUCGACUCCUGUCGCCGGCU
rnacentral:tRNA from 1 species